rnacentral:rRNA from 1 species
UACGUAGGUGGCAAGCGUUGUCCGGAUUUACUGGGUGUAAAGGGCGUGCAGCCGGAGAGACAAGUCAGAUGUGAAAUCCACGGGCUCAACCCGUGAACUGCAUUUGAAACUGUUUCCCUUGAGUGUCGGAGAGGUAAUCGGAAUUCCUUGUGUAGCGGUGAAAUGCGUAGAUAUAAGGAAGAACACCAGUGGCGAAGGCGGAUUACUGGACGAUAACUGACAGUGAGGCGCGAAAGCGUGGGGAGCAAACAGG